rnacentral:miRNA from 11 species
AUGUAUGUAUGUAUGUAUGUAUGUGUGUGUGUGUAUGUGUGUAUGUGUGUAUAUAUACACACACACACACACAUACAUAUACAAACACACAUAC